GUAAGGUCAGCUAAUUAAGCUCUC
rnacentral:tRNA from 1 species